UACAGAGGUCUCAAGCGUUGUUCGGAUUCAUUGGGCGUAAAGGGUGCGUAGGCGGCGCGGUAAGUCGGGUGUGAAAUCUCGGGGCUUAACUCCGAAACUGCAUUCGAUACUGCCGUGCUUGAGGACUGGAGAGGAGACUGGAAUUUACGGUGUAGCGGUGAAAUGCGUAGAUAUCGUAAGGAAGACCAGUGGCGAAGGCGGGUCUCUGGACAGUUCCUGACGCUGAGGAGCGAAAGCAUGGGGAGCGAACAGG
rnacentral:rRNA from 1 species